ensembl:lncRNA
GCUUAAUGGUUAGCACGUUCACCUCACACCUCCAGGGUCGGGGGUUCGAUUCCCACCGUGGCUCUGUGUGUGCGGAGUUUGCAUGUUCUCCCCGUGCUGCGGGGUUUCCUCCCCCAGUCCAAAGACAUGCAUGGUAGGCUGAUUGGCAUGUCCAAAGUGUCCGUAGUGUAUGAAUGGGUGUGUGAGUGUGUGUGUGAUUGUGCCCUGCGAUGGACUGGCACCCUGUCCAGGGUGUACCCCGCCUUGUUCCCGAUGCUCCCUGG